AAAUUGAAGAGUUUGAUCAUGGCUCAGAUUGAACGCUGGCGGCAGGCCUAACACAUGCAAGUCGAACGGUAACAGGAAGCAGCUUGCUGCUUUGCUGACGAGUGGCGGACGGGUGAGUAAUGUCUGGGAAACUGCCUGAUGGAGGGGGAUAACUACUGGAAACGGUGGCUAAUACCGCAUAACGUCGCAAGACCAAAGAGGGGGACCUUCGGGCCUCUUGCCAUCAGAUGUGCCCAGAUGGGAUUAGCUUGUUGGUGAGGUAACGGCUCACCAAGGCGACGAUCCCUAGCUGGUCUGAGAGGAUGACCAGCCACACUGGAACUGAGACACGGUCCAGACUCCUACGGGAGGCAGCAGUGGGGAAUAUUGCACAAUGGGCGCAAGCCUGAUGCAGCCAUGCCGCGUGUAUGAAGAAGGCCUUCGGGUUGUAAAGUA
rnacentral:rRNA from 1 species